rnacentral:lncRNA from 1 species
CUUUUCAAGUCUAUUCUUAUACCGUUUGACAUUCGAUUAUUUGUUAAAUUGUUUUUCGCCUAAUGCUGAUUGGCUAAUGCGCCGUUUGUUGAUUUUUGAGUCAUCAUCUACCUAUACUAUCCUGGCUCGUGAUUGGUUGGUUGGUUAUAACAAUGAAAGACAGUAGCUAGAACUAUAGAAAUCGUCUUCCUAAAGAACGAGUCACAAACAAUGAUCGUUUUUGUUUCUGAAAGCCAUGCAGUCAUGCGCAAAACAUGAUCAUUUUCGGUAAGUCUUAACCCCGGUUUUCUAUUUUUGUUUUGCAAUGUGAUUGGUUAGUGUUCUCUAAGUGGCCCCACUUGCUGUAGACGCACUGUAAGUUAGUUUAACUAACUUGCGCAAUUUUACAACGCGAGCCUUCUUGACAGUUUGUUCAAAUUUGAUAUAUGACAGGAAUUUAGCCAGAUCGAAUUAGCAAUUCGUGCAUGCACUAGUCCAAAAGUGCUGCUCUAUAUUAAAGUCUGGAAUAAUUUUGAAAUCAGAACUUUGUCUUCUACAAAAACAUUCUUAUAUGGCAUUCAAACGAACCAGGGGCGGAUUUAGCCACAUCUGCAAAGAGGGGUGCAAGUUUUCCAUGGGGUGGUGUACGAGGGCAACCUUACUGCCCACUCUCCUCUGCAGUCUGCAGCGGUACUAUCCCAACAAUAAUUACCAUUAUUUGAGAUGGCCGAAUCUGUAUGUUCACCGUUCUGUUACAUUUUACAUCAUCUUUUGUUUAUAACGUUUAUAUCGGCUUUUAAUCACGUAUGCGUGACUAAAGACAGUUGCUGUGGCACAGUAUAGCAAAUUUGCUUGUUCAAGACAUGGCUUUCAAGGGAUAGGUUUCAAGUGGGACGAAAGUCCUGUCCCGUUCUCCUGUCACACAGUUAUCUUCGUCAAUGUAAUUUUUUUUGUAUGGUGACAAAUUCAAUAAAUAAAAUAAAAUUGGUUGUAUUACCAACCUCGACAUGUUUACAUAUUUAACCAUGGGCAUGGCAUUUAACUAAAGCAUUCCGAGUAUUUUCUCGUGAGCUCGUUUCAAGAAAUCGAUUUCAUUGGGCAAACUGAUUUGGCAAAGGAAACACGACAAAUGGCAAAAUUCGAACGGUACUCGUUUACAAAAACUGCAAACAGCUUUAAUUCUAGUUCUGUCACUUUCAUUUGAUCUCAUCUGUGAGUCGGCCUCAACGGCCUUUGAUCUUGAUAUGCAUUGCAAAGAAACGUACGUCACAGUUUGCAUUUGGCGCAUUUCUACUAGAGGAUUAAAUCACUUGAAAAUGGACAUACGUUGUUGCCAUUACUCACAUUAAAAUACAAAACAAGUGAAACUCCAAAAAUCGAUAACAUUUUUAUUUAUCUACGUUUCGACUAUAUUUCAGUCAUCAUCAGGAUAAACUAGCUAGGUUACAUAUCAAAAGCGGUAUUUAUAUGAAGAAAUGUGAUACAAUAGUUAGGUUGAUUAUUAACGAAUUAAUGAAAUAUGAUAAGUUCUUUAGAAGCUUUAAGUCCAUGAUUAAGUUCAGGUUUAUAUCUUUGAAUAGCGAGGGAUUCUUGAUAUAGUAAAAGGGACCAAUGGUUAGAUUUAUCAAUUAUUUUAGUGUUGUUGAAAAC